CUACGUGCCAGCAGCCGCGGUAAUACGGAAGGUCCAGGCGUUAUCCGGAUUUAUUGGGUUUAAAGGGAGUGUAGGCGGUCUGUUAAGCGUGUUGUGAAAUUUAGGUGCUCAACAUCUACCUUGCAGCGCGAACUGGCGGACUUGAGUGCACGCAACGUAUGCGGAAUUCAUGGUGUAGCGGUGAAAUGCUUAGAUAUCAUGACGAACUCCGAUUGCGAAGGCAGCGUACGGGAGUGUUACUGACGCUUAAGCUCGAAGGUGCGGGUAUCGAACAGGAUUAGAUACCCUGGUAGUCCGCACGGUAAACGAUGGAUGCCCGCUGUUAGCGCCUGGCGUUAGCGGCUAAGCGAAAGCAUUAAGCAUCCCACCUGGGGAGUACGCCGGCAACGGUGAAACUCAAAGGAAUUGACGGGGGCCCGCACAAGCGGAGGAACAUGUGGUUUAAUUCGAUGAUACGCGAGGAACCUUACCCGGGCUUGAAUUGCAGACGCAGGAUACAGAGAUGUUGA
rnacentral:rRNA from 1 species